AUUGAACGCUGGCGGCAUGCCUUACACAUGCAAGUCGAACGGUAACAGGUCUUCGGAUGCUGACGAGUGGCGAACGGGUGAGUAAUACAUCGGAACGUGCCCGAUCGUGGGGGAUAACGCAGCGAAAGCUGUGCUAAUACCGCAUACGAUCUACGGAUGAAAGCGGGGGACUCGCAAGAGCCUCGCGCGGACGGAGCGGCCGAUGGCAGAUUAGGUAGUUGGUGGGUAAAAGCUUACCAAGCCGACGAUCUGUAGCUGGUCUGAGAGGACGACCAGCCACACUGGGACUGAGACACGGCCCAGACUCCUACGGGAGGCAGCAGUGGGGAAUUUUGGACAAUGGGCGCAAGCCUGAUCCAGCCAUGCCGCGUGCAGGAUGAAGG
rnacentral:rRNA from 1 species